AGGACGAACGCUGGCGGCGUGCUUAACACAUGCAAGUCGAGCGAACCUUCGGGUUAGCGGCGAACGGGUGAGUAACACGUGGGCAACCUGCCCCGAGCUCUGGGAUAACUCCGGGAAACCGGGGCUAAUACCGGAUAUGACCCGAGAAGACAUCUUCUCGGGUGGAAAGUUUUUUCGGCUCGGGAUGGGCCCGCGGCCUAUCAGCUUGUUGGUGGGGUAACGGCCUACCAAGGCGACGACGGGUAGCC
rnacentral:rRNA from 1 species